UCAAGCGACUAAGUGCAUGUGGUGGAUGCCUUGGCGAUCACAGGCGAAGAAAGACGUGGCAGCCUGCGAAAAGCUGCGGGGAGCUGGCAAACGAGCAUAGAUCCGCAGAUAUCUGAAUGGGGGAACCCAGCCCGAUAAGGGUUAUCGCAUGAUGAAUCCAUAGUCAUGCGAGGCGAACGAGGAGAACUGAAACAUCUAAGUAUCCUCAGGAAAAGAAAUCAACCGAGAUUCCGGCAGUAGCGGCGAGCGAACCCGGAGGAGCCUAGUUUUUGAUAGUUUGGAUGAUAGAAGAAUGAGAUGGAAAGCUCAGCCAAAGAAGGUGAUAGCCCUGUAUUUAAAAUUGUCCGAAUGGUACUAAGGAAACGAGAAGUAAGGCGGGACACGAGGAAUCCUGUCUGAAGAAGGGGGGACCAUCCUCCAAGGCUAAAUACUAGUGAUCGACCGAUAGUGAACCAGUACCGUGAGGGAAAGGUGAAAAGAACCCCGGGAGGGGAGUGAAAUAGAACCUGAAACCGCGUGCAUACAAACAGUAGGAGCCUUUUUUGAGGUGACUGCGUACCUUUUGCAUAAUGGGUCAGCGACUUACAUUCUGUGGCGAGGUUAACCGAAUAGGGAAGCCGAAGCGAAAGCGAGUUCGAAUAGAGCGAAAAGUCGCAGGGUGUAGACCCGAAACCAGAUGAGCUAUCCAUGGCCAGGUUGAAGGUGUGGUAACACACACUGGAGGACCGAACCGACUAGUGUUGCAAAAUUAGCGGAUGAGCUGUGGAUAGGGGUGAAAGGCCAAACAAAUCUGGAGAUAGCUGGUUCUCCCCGAAAACUAUUGAGGUAGUGCCUCGUGUUGAGGCUCCAGGGGGUAGAGCACUGUUUUGGCUAGGGGGACAUGUAGUCUUACCAAACCAAGGCAAACUCCGAAUACCUGGAAGCUAUACACGGGAGACAGAGCACCGGGUGCUAACGUCCGGACUCAAAAGGGAAACAACCCAGACCGCCGGCUAAGGUCCCCAAUAGCAGCUAAGUGGAAAACGAAGUGGAAAGGCCGUGACAACCAGGAAGUUGGCUUAGAAGCAGCCAUCCUUCAAAGAAAGCGUAAUAGCUCACUGGUCGAGUCUUUCUGCGCGGAAGAUGUAACGGGGCUAAGCUGCUAACCGAAGCCGCGGAUGCAUGGAAAAAUCCAUGCGUGGUAGGGGAGCGUUCUGUAAGUCUGAGAAGGCGGAUUGAGAAGUCUGCUGGAGAUAUCAGAAGUGCGAAUGCUGACAUGAGUAACGUUAAAGAGGGUGAAAAGCCCUCUCGCCGCAAGCCCAAGGUUUCCUGCUCUACGUUCAUCGGAGCAGGGUGAGUCGGCCCCUAAGGUCAGGCCGAAAGGCGUAGCCGAUGGGAACCGGGUUAAUAUUCCCGGACCGCUGUCAGAUGCGAAGGGGUGACGGAGAGGCUAAGGUCAUCCGAGUGUUGGACUACUCGGUACUUAGACGAGGACGGUUGGCAGGCAAAUCCGCCAACGGAUCGUCCGGAUCGGAAGUGGUGCUCCCACGGGAGCGAAGUGAUUGGAAACUCUUCCAGGAAAAACCUCUAAGCUACAGUCUGACAGGACCGUACCGCAAACCGACACUGGUGGGCGAGCUGAAUAUGCUCAGGCGCUUGAGAGAACUCGGGAGAAGGAACUCGGCAAAUUGACACCGUAACUUCGGAAGAAGGUGUGCCGCAGUAGCGUGAGAGGAGAGACACCUUGAGCGUGAGACGGUCUCAGAGAAUAGGUGGCUGCGACUGUUUAUUAAAAACACAGCACUCUGCAAAGUCGAAAGACGACGUAUAGGGUGUGAUGCCUGCCCGGUGCUGGAAGAUUAAUUGAUGGGCUGAGAGGCCUUGAUCGAAGUCCCAGUAAACGGCGGCCGUAACUAUAACGGUCCUAAGGUAGCGAAAUUCCUUGUC
rnacentral:rRNA from 1 species